UUCUCUGUCUUUCACUCUCCUUCGCUCUCCUUCUCUUCAUUGUGUGUGUUUAUUUGCGUGUGGGGGUGUGUGUGUAGAGAGAGAGAGAGAGAGAGAGGCAAGACGCCAUGUUUUGUGGAGAUAAGAAUGGAAAUUAUUUUUUUCAAGCAUUCGUGGACUUGAUUUAGCUAUCUCAACGUGAAACAUGCUUUUUAAAGAUUGUUCCAUUGUUCAUAAUGUUUUUGGGACUCAUACUUCUUUUUUUUACUACUAAGCUUAUUUCUAGUUAUUAUUUUUUUCCUUUUUUUUCUGUGAUGACAAGGAUUUUAAAGGGGGUAUUAACUGGCAUCCUGAGAGCUUAGUAAUUAUCAUUAAUGUAGCCCUGAAGGCAAAAAAGGGAGUAGACCAAAUGGAGUGUUUUACAGUAGCCUAACCACCGGAUUAAUAUGGAGGUAGGGUAUAUCAGCUCCAGGGUCACAUUGGGUCCACUUGCAACUAUUUCUGAUUUUUAUGUGGGAAAAACAAAUAUAAUGUAAUAUAAAACUGAAUAAACUUUUUUCAGAAUUAC